CCGUGCUCACUUCAUUUUGCACACAACCAAUCCAACAAUUCUUACAGCACAUAAUAAUAAUAAAAUAAUUAAAAUUGAAAAUAAAAAAGUUUUCUUUCUUCCUUUUCGUUGAACAUUUUCUUAGAUGAGUCACGACGACCACCAUAGGCCUUACGGCGGAGCCACCACGUCGUCGCCCAAUGAACAUCGAGCAACCACCACUCCCCAAUUGCUGCUCAGUCAAGCUUGAAAUCGAAUUAAUCAACGAAAUUCAUUCAAUAGAUUGAUUGAAGAUUGAAGGAUGAGACUUAGGACCUGUUUGGAUGAUGCCUAGUAGAAACUGAAAACAGCAAUAUCAAGUAUCGUGACGUGACCGCAAGUUAAGAGACCAACUUUGAUAAAGAAAUAAUUGAGAGACUAACUUCCACCAUAUGAUGCUCCAAUCGCAACUAUUGGGGAGUCUUCGGCUUGUAAUGUUUUCUUGAUGUGUAUAAGCACUUCUGCAUAAUCUGCAAGUGCCUGAGCCGAGUUUAAAUAUCCAGUAGUGCUAGCAUUCUUGAAUGCUUCUUCACUUGAU